GGGUCUAUGAUGACGAGCUCACUGCGCAAUCUGAGUUCUAUCUUGGGAACCCGGUUAUGGGGCUCUGAGAACGGGCUGACCG